UACGUAGGGUGCGAGCGUUAAUCGGAAUUACUGGGCGUAAAGGCGUGCGCAGGCGGUUGGUUAAGUCUGAUGUGAAAGCCCCGAGCUCAAACUUGGGGAAUGGCCAUUGGAAACUGGCUGGCUAGAGUGUGGCAGAGGGGGUGGAAUUCCGGCGUGUAGCAGUGAAAUGCGUAGAGAUGCGGAGGAACACCGAUGGCGAAGGCAGCCCCCUGGGCUGACACUGACGCUCAUGCACGAAAGACGUGGGGAGCAAACGAGGAUUAGAGUACC
rnacentral:rRNA from 1 species